AGUGUUCUGUGAUGCAUCAGGGCCUCAUCAGCUCAUCGACGACUAAAUCGCCCACUUCAAGGUACUUUGGCCAGAUAAACCUCAAAAGAGGUACCAGGUGUGCACCAUGCCAUACCGCAAAGAGCGGCAUUUAUCCGAAAGUUCUCAGGCUCAUCAAGGAAGGGAAAUGAACCCGUCCCAGCUGCACCAAACAGGUGCACGCACCAUUACAGAUUGCAAGCCGUUCUCUUUAAGCCACAUGGAAUGUUCCAUGAGGUGAGCGUGCAUUUGUAGUGGUCCUUGGGACAUGUGCUGUAGGCUUAUGUAUUACUGGCUUUGUCUUUGUGGUAUACGCCAGGCUGUAUUAAAUAUAUUGCAGGU